GACGAACGCUGGCGGCGUGCUUAACACAUGCAAGUCGAACGAAGUGGCGAACGGGUGAGUAACGCGUAAUAAACCUGCCCUUAAGAGGGGGACAACAGUUGGAAACGACUGCUAAUACAGCAUACUGAAGGAGGGGAUUGCGUCUGAUUAGCUAGUUGGAGGGGUAACGGCCCACCAAGGCGAUUGUCAGUAGCCGGUCUGAGAGGCUGAACAGCCUCUUUGGGCCUGAGACACGGCCCAGACUCCUACUGUAUGCAGCAGUGGGGAAUCUUCCGAAAUGGACGAAAGUCUGACGGAGCAACGCCGCGUGAGUGAUGACGGCCUUCGGGUUUUAAAGCUCUGUUAAUCGGGACGCGGUACCGGAAUAGAAAGCCACGGCUAACUACGUGCCAGCAGCCGCGGUAAUUC
rnacentral:rRNA from 1 species